rnacentral:lncRNA from 1 species
UAGAACCUUGUGACUUUGGCCAGGCACCAAUCAUCUGCCUCCUUCUGUGCCUGCCUGGCUGCCCCUACCCUGGGGCUCCCUCCUAGCCCCCACCUCACCUACUGGCUCACUGAGACAGAGCCAAACAUGAAAGGGAAGGUGACGGCCUGGCCAUAGGGCCCAGGAAAAUGCAGGUAUCAUUAACAGCCUGGAGCACUGUGGCCUGUCCACUCUCAACCCUCUGCUGCCCACCCCUUCCUGGAAUAGACCCCAGGCCACAUACAGAGGGGGCAAGCCCAAGGUAUGAUACCAGCAGGGCCAAGUGGACUGUCCAGAUGGGUAACGGGGGCCUGCCUUCCUCUGGCCUCCACAUAGGGGCCGCAGGUGUUCACAUGGUUGGAAAUGGGAGGGCCAAUGCUGUUCAUAGGCCGCUGUCUGGUCCACAGGACUCAACUGGCCCUCCGAACGCUAUCCCACUUUCCAGCCAGGAUUGAAGGAGAUCCCAUCUUGGGUCUAAAGGAAUGGGGGUGAAGACUGCAUCUUGUCGUUCCAGUUCCACCCCAUUCUGGCAUGGGAAGCAUGUGUGGGCUUCUACUCUAUGGGAGAUUCAUAGCCUCAAUCCUUAAGGAAUUCUCAAUCUGAAAGGAAAACACAAACCCUGACCUCAGGGAGCUCCCAGUUUGACAGUGGAGACAGAGAGGCCCUGCAUCAAGUAGAAAAACAACCCCCACUGCUCUCAAGCACACAGCAAUGAAGAUAUGUAUCCUUGGUGCUACAGAUGCUGACGAUACGACAGUGAAUACAACAUGAAAAAACAAGCACACUUCUCACCCCUAUGGAGCUUUAUUCUGGUCAGGCAGAAGGAGAAGGAAAUGUAAACAUGCAAGGUCAGGAGCAACUUUUUGGCACUCCCAUUUUGCAGAAGAGGAAACAGCCUGCCUAGGUCUGCUGAUUCCUGUCCUGGUGAGCUCACUGCCCCAUACUCCCACCCUUGUACACAAAUGGAGGUGCUCUUACAGAAGUUCUGAGCCUGAUUCUGCUGCUGCUUCUCCAGCUAACCUUAGGUGAUGCAUGACUCUACUCUGACAUCCUCUCCAGCUUUCAUCUGUUUUUAUUUUUAUGAUGUGCUGAAGACAGGACAUUGUAUCUGCUCUUCCCUCUGUAAGUCUUGCCAUGCCCUUUGGCCAAAGGCAACUCAAAUAUGGACUUCCUACUGUCACCAUCAAGGUCACUAUGAUCUAAGUGUUUUUUAGGGCUUGUGCAGAGAAGGAAGAAGAUGCCCCCUGCCUUCUCUGCUCCCCAUCAUGUAGGAAAGAAGACACAGGCUGAGCCCCGGGAGGAGAGAUCAAAGCUUUGGAUCUGAAAGAGUGGUUCCAGCCCAGCAGCAUGAACAUGGCCUGGGAAUGUGUUAGACAUGCAGGUUCUCAGGCCCCACCCCACACCUGCUGGAUCAAAAACUCUGAUUUCUGCACUUGAGCAUACAUCACUCAAGUUUGAGAACCACUGCAUUAGAGAACAGAAACCCUCAACCAUAGCAUGCAGGAACAGCGAAGCCAUGAAGACACAU